rnacentral:rRNA from 1 species
GAUGAACGCUAGCGGCAGGCCUAAUACAUGCAAGUCGAACGGUGGUAGCAAUACCAUAGUGGCGCACGGGUGCGUAACGCGUAACCAACCUGCCCGAAACUGGGGGAUAGCCCGCCGAAAGGCGGAUUAAUACCGCAUAUACUCGCAGCCUGGCAUCAGGUAACGAGGAAAGAUUUAUUGGUUUCGGAUGGGGUUGCGUGACAUUAGCUAGUUGGCGGGGUAACGGCCCACCAAGGCGACGAUGUCUAGGGGACCUGAGAGGGUGAUCCCCCACACUGACACUGAGAUACGGGCCAGACACCUACGGGAGGCAGCAGUAGGGAAUAUUGGGCAAUGGACGAGAGUCUGACCCAGCCAUGCCGCGUGCCGGAUGAAGGCCUUCUGGGUUGUAAACGGCUUUUCUCAGGGAAGAAAACGGGUAUGCGUACCACACUGACGGUACCUGAGGAAUAAGCACCGGCUAACUCCGUGCCAGCAGCCGCAGUAAUAC